GAGUUUGAUCCUGGCUCAGAUUGAACGCUGGCGGCAUGCCUUACACAUGCAAGUCGAACGGCAGCACGGGAGCUUGCUCCUGGUGGCGAGUGGCGAACGGGUGAGUAAUGCAUCGGAACGUAUCCUGGAGUGGGGGAUAACGUAGCGAAAGUUACGCUAAUACCGCAUAUUCUGUGAGCAGGAAAGCGGGGGACCUUCGGGCCUCGCGCUCUUGGAGCGGCCGAUGUCGGAUUAGCUAGUUGGUGAGGUAAAGGCUCACCAAGGCGACGAUCCGUAGCAGGUCUGAGAGGAUGAUCUGCCACACUGGAACUGAGACACGGUCCAGACUCCUACGGAGGCAGCAGUGGGAAUUUUGGACAAUGGGGGCAACCCUGAUCCAGCCAUGCCGCGUGAGUGAAGAAGGCCUUGG
rnacentral:rRNA from 1 species